GAUGAAGAACGCAGCGAAAUGCGAUAAGUAAUGUGAAUUGCAGAAUUCAGUGAAUCAUCGAAUCUUUGAACGCAUCUUGCGCUCCUUGGUAUUCCUUGGAGCAUGCCUGUUUGAGUAUCAUGAGCAAAUCUCAAAGUCAAUUCCUUUUGUUAAUUCAAUUGGUUUUGCUUUGGACUUGGAGGUCUUGCAGAUUUCACAGUCUGCUCCUCUUAAAUGCAUUAGCUGGAUCUCAGUAAUUAUGCUUGGUUCCACUCGGCGUGAUAAGUAUCACUCGCUGAGGACACUGUUAAAAAGGUGGCCAGGAAAAUACUGAUUGAACCGCUUCUAACGGUCUAUUAAGUUAGACAAUUGACCCUUAAGUUUGAUCUCAAAUCAGGUAGGACUACCCGCUGAACUUAAGCAUAUCAAUAAGCGGAGGA
rnacentral:misc_RNA from 1 species